rnacentral:rRNA from 1 species
AACGAACGCUGGCGGCAUGCCUAACACAUGCAAGUCGAACGGAAAGGCCCUGCUUGCCGGGUGAUCGAGUGGCGAACGGGUGAGUAAUACGUGGGUGUUCUGCACUGCCCUUGGGAAUAAGCCUGGGAAACGGGGUUUAAUACCGGGUGGGAGACAUAUUGCGAGUGGUGGUUGGCAAGUUGUUUCGGUGUGGGAUGAGCUUGGGGCCUAUCAGCUCGUGGGGGGGGUAAUGUCCUACCAAGGCGGCGCAGGGUAGCUGGCCUGGGAGGGGGGACAGACACAUUGCGAUUGGGAUACGGCCCAGACUCCAAUGGUAGGCAGCGGAGGAGAAGAUUGUACAAUGGGCGGGAGCCUGAUGCGGCGACGCCGCGUGGGGGAAGACAUCCUUGGGGUUGUGAACUCCUGUCGCUAGAGACGAAGCUUUUGUGACGGUACCUACAGAAGAAGCACCGGCUAACUACGUG